rnacentral:piRNA from 1 species
UCUUUGUUGAGGAUCCUUCAGAAGCA